AUGGAAUUAGUUUUAAACGGUUUACAGUGGCAAACUUGCCUAAUUUACCUGGACGACAUUAUAGUCUUCUCCACUAGUUUUGACCAGCAUAUUGAAAGACCAGAAGAGGUGCUCCUUAGAAUUUUGGAGGCAGGGUUAAAGCUGAAACCAGAAAAAUGCACUAUGUUAAAGUCAGAAGUUGCAUUUCUUGGUCAUGUUGUAUCAGGAAAAGGGGUUCAACCAAAUCCAGAUAACAUUGCCAAAAUUUUAGCUUGGUCAGUGCCAACAAAUGUAACUGAAGUCCGUCAAUUAAUUGGGAUGGGUAGCUAUUAUCGUCGUUUUAUUAAAGAUUUUUCUUCUCUUGUGAAGCCUCUAACAGAGCUCACUAAGAAGUCAAAUGCAUUUAUCUGGUCGAAUGAGUGCCAAAAAUCUUUUGAACAACUUAAAGAAGUAUUUAUGAGUCCAGAAAUAAUGGGAUAUCCUUUAGACAAGGGAGAUUUUAUAUUAGAUACGGAUGCAAGUGAUUUUGCCAUUGGAGCAGUUUUGAGCCAAAUUCAAGAUGGAAGACCCAGAGUGAUCGCUUAUGGCAGUCGUACCUUAAAUAAAGCUGAGUGCAAUUAUUGCAUUACAAACAAAGAAUUGCUGGCAGUCCGGUAUUUUAUAGAAUAUUAUAGGCAGUAUUUAUUGGGUAGAAGUUUUAUGGUCAGGACUGACCACCAGGCCUUGAUAUGGUUAUUUAGCCUUAUAGAGCCUAAGGGCAGGAUUGCCCGGUGGAUUGAAAUACUAUCCGCUUUUGAUUUUACUGUAGAAUAUAGACCAGGCCCCAAACAUGGAAAUGCAGAUGAUAUGUCACGAUGCAUAAACCCCCGUGAGAGUUAUUGUCCCCAAACAGACCAUAUAGAAUAUUUGAAAUGUGGUCCUUGUGCGAAAUGCACAAGAAGAGCUCGUGACAUGGUGACUUCCAUGAUUUCCCCCCUUUUAUAGAAGAAAAGAAAGUUUUUAAAAGUCUUAAUGUAGUAAAGACAAGGAAACAGACAGAGGAAGCUAAUACUUGGACCAUUUGGAAAACAGGACAUACUAUACCAGAGCUAAAGAAAUUACAAGAGGAAGAUGAAGCCAUUGGCCAUAUUUUUAAAUGGAAAACAGAUGGGAAGAGACCGCCAUGGAGAGAUGUGGAAAGUUUGAGUCCAGCUACCCGACAUUAUUGGCACCUUUGGGAAUCCUUAUUUUUUAAAGAGAAUUUACUCUUUAAAGAAUUCUCUAAGCGAGAUGAAACUGCUGACCAAAUACAGUUUUUAACCCCACAGAAAUUGAAACCUGAAAUUUUAGCUCAAAUGCAUAAUUCCAUUACAUCUGGGCAUUUGGGAAGGAAAAAGACAAAGGCAAAGCUUUCCCAGAGAUUUUAUUGGUAUGAGAUGAGAGAGGACAUCACCAUAUGGUUAGCAAAGUGUGAUAUUUGCCAGGCAAAUAAACCUCCAGUAAAAGGAUACAGGGCCCCUUUAGGAAGUAUGCCUACUGGUGGACCAUGGGAUAGAUUGGCUACUGAUAUUUUAGGCCCUCUUCCUGUCACACCAAGACAUAAUAAAUAUGUUUUAACGGUAACAGACCAUUUUACAAAGUGGGUCGAGGUUUUUCCUGUACCGGACUCCACUGCUGUUACCUGUGCUUACUUGAUUUUAAAUGAUGUUAUAUGUCGUUAUGGUUGUCCACUUGCCUUACACUCUGAUCAAGGUCGCAACUAUGAAAGUGAUAUUUUUCAAGAGCUGUGUUCUAUGUUAGACAUUAGAAAAACAAGAACCAGUGUAAGAAAUCCAAAGGGUAAUGGUCAAACAGAGCGAUUUAAUUGUAGUUUACUGUCUAUGAUUAAAUCUUAUUUACAAGGUGAACAGACAGACUGGGAUUUAAAUCUUGGUUGUCUUGCAGGUGCUUACCGGUCUACUCCGAAUGAAUCUACAAGUCUUACUCCUAACUUGUUGAUGUUAGGAAGGGAAAUCAGGUUUCCAGUUGAGGUGACACAAGCAAAAGUUUUGGUUCAAGGUGAAGUCCAAGUAAAUCCAGGCGAUUUUGUCUGUGAAUUAAGAGAGAGGUUGCAAAAGGCUCAUAGUGUUGCCAGAAAACAUUUAUCAGCAAAUGCUAAAAGGCGUAAAGAUUACUAUGACCAGAAAGUAAACUUUGUCAUUUAUAAUAUUUUUGAUAAGGUUUGGUACUUAAACGAGACAAGGAAGGAAGGCAUAAGUCCAAAACUUCAACCCUUAUACUUGGGACCUUGCCUUAUUACCAAAAAGUUGAAUGAAAUUAAUUUUGAAAUACAACUAGAUGCUAAGGGAACCAGAAAGGUUAUUAAUCAUAACAAGUUGAAACCUUACAUUGGUGAAAACAUACCCAAGUGGAUGAAAAUAGUUGAAAAACAAAUUUCUUAA
rnacentral:sRNA from 1 species